AUUGAACGCUGGCGGCAGGCUUAACACAUGCAAGUCGAGCGAGCGUCGGUCGGGUGAUUAUUGUCUGGGAAACUGCCUGCUGGCGGUGGGUAACUGCUGGCAACUGUAGCUAAUACCUCAUACCAUUAUUUGUUCCCAGCUGGGUUUCGCUAGUAGGUGGGGUAAUGGCUCACCUAGGCGACGAUCCCUAGCUGGUCUGAGAGGAUGACCGGCCACACUGGAACUGAGACACGGCCCAGACUCCUACGGGAGGCAGCAGUGGGGAAUAUUGGACAAUGGGCGCAAGCCUGAUGCAGCAAGGCCGCGUGUGUGAAGAAGGCCUUCGGGUUGUAAAGCACUUUCAGCGAGGAGGCGGUACUCGAAGAAGAAGCAACGGCUAACUACGUGCCAGCAGCCGCGAUAAUAC
rnacentral:rRNA from 1 species